UACGGAGGGGACUAGCGUUGUUCGGAAUUACUGGGCGUAAAGCGCACGUAGGCGGAUUGCUAAGUCAGGGGGUGAAAUCCUGGAGCUCAACUCCAGAACUGCCUUUUGAUACUGGCGAUCUCGAGUCCGGGAGAGGUGAGUGGAACUGCGAGUGUAGAGGUGAAAUUCGUAGAUAUUCGCAAGAACACCAGUGGCGAAGGCGGCUCACUGGCCCGGUACUGACGCUGAGGUGCGAAAGCGUGGGGAGCAAACAGG
rnacentral:rRNA from 1 species